rnacentral:lncRNA from 1 species
CAAUGAAGUGUCAGAGAAACACAGUGGGAUGACAUUGUUCACAGGCAGAUGGAUCCCUGUUUUAGAUAGCAGCCUCAGUCCUCAGGCCCAGUCCCGAUGGGUAACUCACCCCUAUCUUGGAUAAGAGCUUUGGGAGCCUGUGAGUUACAUGAAGGAAGAGACUCAAAGUCAAUGGUGGAUUAUCAGCUCCUGGAAGUGAAAGAAUUUCACCUUACACUCUUCAUUAUGGUUUCACCUGUUAUAUGGGCUCAACUUUAGAAGGAUCUCAACAUGCACUGCCUGGCUUCUCCUACUUGGAAUUACCAACACUGUUUUUUUCCUUUUCAAUACCUAUUAAUGCACAAAAAACUGAGACAACAUACAUUAAAAAUAAAAUACAUAUCUACAAUAUUUACAUAUAUGGAUUUGCUGGGAAAAAUAUUUUUAUAAUCACAAAUUAGUGUCUGAUCAUAUGAUUAACAUCACUAAAACUAGAUUUGGUGCUUAUUGACUAUUCUUUGGCGAUUUCCUCAAAAUAUCACCUCUAAUCUGAUGAUUGACACAUAUUUAUUUUUAGAUGACAAUUCUAACCUUCAGUUUCCAACUGUGUACUGGAUAUAUUGGUGCUGCCAUCUUGUCUUCUAGUUAUCUCUAUUUUAGCACUAUCCAAAGCAUAUUUUCCUCUACUAUUCCUAUACACAUUCCUACACAUAUUUUCCUCUACUAUUCCUAUACAUAUUUCCCUCUACUAUUUUCUACAAACUACUGAAUGGCUUAUUUAUCUCUAUCUUCAUGGUACUUGAGUUCUUGAGGCAUAUAUUUGAUGCUGUAUUAAUUAAAUCUAAUAAAUUACCAUGUUAAGAAAAAACAAACUUCAGGGAAAGAUACUAGAACAUGUUUUCUUUGUGCUUUGAUUAUAAUAUUUGCUUUAUGUACAUAUCUGUAAACUCACAUCUUAAUGCCUUAUACUUCUACAUUAGCAUGGCUCAUUUUCCCUUGGUCUAAAUGAGAAGGAAGGAAACAAAUUCAUUGCCUCCAUCUGUAAAACAUCCCUCCAGAACAUCAAGAUAUGUUAAGCACCCUUUCCUCUUCAUUUCUCCUUGGCUUCUCUAGUUUUCCUUUAUGAUCUACUUCCCAACUCUUAAAUCAAUUCCAUUGCCUUCUCUUGGGCAUUUUCCAGGUUAUUCAGAUGUCUAUAUCUACAAUAAGCUACAGGGUCCACCAAGUGUAACAAAUCCCCCAAGUGCUUUUGAAAUAAUCCAGUAGGUUAAAACAGACGAAGAGUAAGAAGACUUAAAGUUGAGGUUAAGUUUAAGAAGAUUUACAAAGCUUUACCCACAUAUCCUGGUCUCUGAUAAAUACAUGAUUAGCUAAAGAUUCCAAGAAACUCACCCAGAGCUCAUUUCCUGCCUGCCUACCAUGGAAGCCAUGUCACUGAGUGCUAAUGAAUUUCCCAGUGGCUCCUGUAACUAGUCAAGGUCCUCAAGUAAAAAUAGGCUUGGCCCUGAAAUUACGGCAUUCAAACCCUGCUCAACAUCAUUUAAAUAUUCCGUGAUAUCCGUAGAUGAAGCCACUGAACAGUAGUGUUAGUAUAAAUAAAUUAAUAUCACAGGAAAAAUGAGGGUAUCUGUUUGAUGAUCCAGUGAAAAAAUGAUGAGAGAAGUUGAUAAGAAAAGCACUUUUCUUGGCCUGUGGUCAAAAACUAAAGCUUUAAACAAUUGUAGGAAACUUUCUUCAGUCGUGUUCUGGGAAGUAAAUUCAGCUAAAUAUAAAUCAAAAGAGUUAUCUUUAUUGUAAUUCAAAGAUGCUACAGUAUUGGAGGCAUGGGAGAUUGCCAGAUGAAGAAACAAGCAUUUUCCUCCUAAUAAAGAAAUCUCUGUAAAUCAUGGGUUUGCACUUCUACUUUUAUACUUCUUUGAUACUGUGCUGUGACCUAUGGAGAGGCGUCAAGGAGCUGUAGCUAAGUGGAUUGCUAAGAACGCCGCGAUGGUGUCAGGUGGAACUGAGGUUAAGCUCCAGCAUCACUGUUACCUGUGUACUGCUGAGUUAAUCAUUCUCUCUAUGACUCCGUUUCUUCAUGUUUAAGAGGAGUAUAGUAAUAGUGGUGAUCUCAGAAGAUUAAGUGGUAAGCACAGUAUUUGGCCCAAAGGAAACAUGCUGUAAAUGUUAUCUUAGUCAUUAACUUUAUGAUUAGAUUUUUUUUCAAAAUCAUUCCCAUGAUACCUGUGGCCUCUGGUUGGUUCUAGUUUAUUUUAUUAGCUCAUUGCUAGUUAUCUCCUCCUAAGCCUUUGGUUGAGCUGGUCUGGGUAUUUCUAGACAUUUCCCUGGUCAUAAUGGGCUUUCCCUUAUGUAUUUGCAUAUAUGCGUUUUCCACAAAUUUGGUCUGAUCAACUCCCACUUUUUAUUUCAGAUGGAGUUCUAACUUUCUUUUCUUGCUUCCUCAAACAUUACUGGAUAGAUAUAAGUUCUCUCUAUUUUCUGUUCUCCUAGGCCUCUAUUUUUAUUAUUUUUACAAUUAUAUCUGUUAUAUUCUUUGCAUGUUUUUCCUCUAGCUAAGGUGUAAAUUCUUCAAACACAGCUACUAUAUACUCAUCAUUGGGCAUCCCAGAACCUAACACUAUCAGGAACACUGAAAGCUAGAAAGUGCCUAGUAAAUGUCUGAUGCAGAAAUAAAUUGCGUAUAAUAUAAUAUGGCAAUGCUAAAAUAGAAUAUAAUGAAAAGGAAUUUAGAAAUAAUAAGGUGAUAAUUUAGAAUCAUAGAAAACAAAUUAGGAAAAAACAAUGAUGUAAGGGUAAGUUUCUUUAAUGCUGACAAAGAUAUUUAAAAAUAUAUUUAAAAGAGCAUUCAUGUGCCAAAAAUAUUUAAAAUAUUUUAGCUGAAUUUGAUACUAAACAUUUAUAUUGUAAUCCAAAGUAUAUGCAAAUAUAAAAAUACGGAACAGAAGUGUACCAAUAUAAUACAGAUUGUCACAGAUCAUAGAAUUAGAAGUGAGUUAUACUUGUGGUUUUUGUAGUUUCAAAAAUCUGUAAAAAAAUAAUUUAUUAUUUUUGUGAGUAGAGAACACUUAUAAACUUUUUUAUACUUAGACAAUGCUAUACAAUUUGAAAUGCAUUGGUAUCAUUGCGUGAUUUAAAUCUUUUCAGGAAAUUUUUUCAAACCUAAAACAAUAUACAUCCAUCCCCUUCAUAUUGUCUAUACACUCUCCUGAGUAUGAUAUCUUUUCUUACGUAAUCAUGCACGAGGCAAAUGCCAGAUGCUCAAGCUAUAAACCCACACAUCUGAUGGGCAAGAGGUCUGAGAAAACAGGCAGCACAAAGUAAUCUUGCCAGUAUACAAACAAUGUAAUGCAGAAAGCCUUAUCCUUUUUCUGGUCAUUAAAUGGAAUUUUAAUCUGCAAGGGAAAUUGCAAGUCAUAGUCCUUCAUGUGUAUAGAGAAAAUGACUUGAGAUCAGAAAGGGAGGAGUUAGGGAAUAAAGUCACACAAUUAGUUGGUGGCACAAUUAGGGCCAGCUUGACAAUCUGUGGCUCUUCCUACUUCUGAAACAUCAUGGAAUUACAGAAAGGGAUUUUAGAAAGACUUUCCUAUUACUGCUUCAUUAUACAGAAGGAUAACUGAGGACUUACAGCUAUCCAAUAUUUUCACCUAGAUCACAUUGCUUGCUGGAAUUUGUCUCAAAUUGGCAUUCAGGACUGCUAUAUCCCAGUCAGUGUGUUUUUCUUUUUUCCUGCAAAAGCAAGACAUUGGUCUUACUCUCACCUACACCACACUUAUCACAAAUAGCAUUGAAGAAAAUCUUGCCCCAAUACUUACAUAUUAUUCAAAUAUCGAAUUGAAGUCUACUUUUGUUCUAACCAUGGCAAAAGAAUAGCCAUAUAUCAAAUAUAACAGCAUAUCAUUUAUUAAUUGGGGUCAACAAUUUUUCCAGAAUUUAUCUAAGAUUCUUAUCCUUUUUAUUUAUUUUUCUAUGAAACAAUGAUCUAUGACAAAUUCAUUGAAAUAUUUCAAAACUCUAAUUCAUAUAUAGCAUUGAAUAUAUGUAUGUGUGUGUGUCUGUGUGUAUACUACACAAAAUGUUUUCCUAAGCUCUUUAGAGCUACAAAAGUUAUAGUAUUUUAUGCCUGUUUUAGAUCUGGAUAGAUAGGCUAUACAUAGCUAAGGAUACAUAGGCUAAGGAAGCCAUUUGGCUCAUUCUUCACAUUAAUAAGAAAAGGCAAUGUGCCACUUGUCUGUGCCAAGCUCUGACAAGUGGAUGUGCCUGGGUUUCCAUAAAUACAAAGCAAGAUAGACCUCUUGGUGUAAUGGAAAGUACGUGCUAUAAGAAAUAGAGAACUUGGGUUCUAGUUAUGUUCCUGUUUCAUGUGUUCAAUAAAGGAUUUCAUGGGAAGUUAUUUUUUAACUCCUAAUAAUAUACCCAAAACUCCCACGGGGCUUUUUCAUUCUUUCUUCUUCUUUUUUUUUUUUUUUUUUUUCGAGACGAAGUCUGGCUCUGUCGCCCAGGCUGGAGUGCAGUGGUGCGAUCUUGGCUCACUGCAAGCUCCGCCUCCCGGGUUCACGCCGUUCUCCUGUCUCAGCCUCCCGAGUAGCUGGGACUACAGGUGCCCGCCACCAUGCCCGGCUAAUUUUUUUUGGAUUUUUAGUAGAGACGGGGUUUCACCGUGUUAGCCAGGAUGGUCUUGAUCUCCUGACCUCGUGAUCCACCCGCCUAGGCCUCCCAAAGUGCUGGGAUUACAGGCGUGAGCCACCACGCCUGGCCGGGGCUCUUUCUAAUAGCUGGAUGCUUAUCAAAAGCCUUCGAAUGUUAAAAAAGUGAUGCAAAGACAGCAAGUAAGGUUGGAGGCCAAACUCAUCAAGGACACAGUAUAAAUAGAAAAUAAAUCUAUAGUGAGACUUUAGGCACAGUUUUUGCCUAAUAUCUGAAAACCCCUGAUCUUUGCCAUAUUCUAACACCCCAUUUGUAUUGACAGCCUUGAAGAUCCAUACUGGGAAACUUCCCUUUUUUAUCAGAGACAGACUGGUUAGGAUAGAUGAUUAAUACAGUAUAUGACUGAGUGUCUGUAAUUGAAGAGACAUUUUUGAAUAAUCAAUGAGCUUCACAAAAAAAGAGUAUUAGACAAAUUAUAUGCAUAUUAAUGCAAUAUCAAAAUCCUUUUUUGUUGGAUGUUAGAGGUGUUUUGUUGAAAAACAAAGAUGAGGAAAACAUUUGAUUUGCUUUCAAAACCUACUCCUGUGUAUAUUCCAUCAAUUAUUUCUGCCAUUAUCCAUUUGAAAAAUCUUUGCUCUUAGGAAUGUGUUAAUUUCAGAUGCCAUUGACCUGUUUAACAGGUCAAUCACUUUCCACUGCAAUCUCAACAAACCCUCUCUAUGGCCUAUGAGGCCCGUUGACAUCUGGUCUUUGAUCUACAGCUCCAAUUUUGUCAUUCUCCACUUUGUUGCUCACUAUAAGCGGAGCCCACAGGUCUCUUUUCGUCCCUCAAACAACUUAAAUGCCUUUCCACACUAGAGGCGGUGUGCUAGCACCCUCUGCCCAGAAUGUUGUUCUGCCAGGAUUUUGCCCGGCUGAUUCCUUCUAGUUAUUCAGGUUUCUGUACAAAUGUGACAUCCUCAGAGAAUCUUCCACUGUUUAUCCCAUCUAAAUUAUCAUUCCUUUCCCAUCCCCUCUUGAUUCUCUAUCACAUUGUCCUUUUUUCCCUUUGCAAUUCUUACCACCAAAUUAGCAUUACCUGAAUUAUGUGUGUAUUCACUUACUUUCAUGUCUGCUAUCCCCCACUCAGCACGCCAUAAGCUCCCUAAAGCCAAGGCUGUAUCUUUCUUGACAUUCUUGACAUCUCUGUAUUUGUAGCACUUACAACAGCACCUUUGUAGGAGUUCAAUAAUUAAUGUCAGAUAAACAAAGGAGUUAAUAAACACAUGAACGAGGCCAGGGGCAGUGGCUCACGCCUGUAAACCCAGCACUUUGGGAGGCCAAGGUGGGUGGAUUAUCUGAGGUCAGGAGUUCAAGACCAGCCUGACUAACAUGAGGAAACCCCAUCUCUACUAAAACUACAAAAAUUAGCUGGGGCGUGGUGGCGCACGCCUGUAAUCCCAGUUAGUUGGAAGGCUGAGACAGAAGAAUCACUUGAACCCAGGAGGUGGAGAUUGCAGUGAGCCGAGAUUGCCCCACUGCAUUCCAGCCUGGGCCACAGAAUGAGACACAGUCUAAAAUUUAAAAAAUACAUGAAUGAAUGAAUAAAUGGAUGAUUUAAUGCCAUUGAUAUAGAUCUGUUAACUAGAAAUGCAAAAUGGGAUAAAUUAAUUAUGUUACUUCAAUCUUUUUCAAAUGUAUGAAAAUAAUUAUAAUUAAAACCAGUAGUUUCAGCGAAAAGGAACUAAUGCAUGUGACAUUGUCCAUGAUAUCGGUGGUUUGCAUGUCAUUGGGCCCUUGAUACAUUUACAAAAAACAAAUAACUAGAAGUGGCAAAUGACAGAAGGUGUGGAAAGGCGAGGGAAGAAAGAGAAACACCAAGUUCUCCUACACCCUCUUCUAAGACUCUUCUAGUUUCUUUCCUCUUUCAAUGAACUUUCUCUCGAAUUUAUGCUCACAAUGUCAGAUUUUGUUUGUUUUAUGUUUCUCACUGAAGUCUAACAUCCCUUUUCUUUUCUGAAAUACGCCAAGCAACUAAUUUUGAAUUACUUUUUCCACUCUGUAGCUGGCUGUUAUGCAUCAUGUAAGGAAGCUUAAUUAAACAGUACAAUGUAAGAACUACUCACAGAUUUAGGAAAAAACCUACUUUCUUCGUUAAAAAAAUAAAUAAGGACAAUUUUGUUAUUCUUUGCAUUCACACACAUCUUAUAUACCCCAAUGCACAACAAAGCUGAAUUUUCAAGUUUGUGACACUUCAGGUCUCUGGAUUUUAUUAAUAAUAAUUGUCAGUCCAUUAAAAUGGAUUAUGAUGACUCCCAAGGAAUUGGUUGUUAACAUAAUUAACAGCUGGCUUUAGUUUCAAGGCAUUAAUCAAAAGAGCAAGUUUCUGGAAAUGACCAGGUUCUCAAAAACGUUGCUAAUUAGCAAAGGCAUUGAAGUUGUAUGACACUGAUUCCUGCCACUGUUAUCUGCAUGAUUGUAUCACAACUUUAAAUACCCACAAUGUGAUGUGUUUUCUCAAGUAUUAUUAAACCAAUAGGCAUUUCAAAUUUCAAUACAUUUACUUUAAAGGAAACAAAAUCUACAUUUUUACUCUUUACUUUUGGACAGAAUCGAGUGUAAAAUACUUGUGAAAUGACGGCAAUACAUAAUACAUAAUAUUUUCCUUUCACAAAUGGUGAAUAAAUGGAGCAUAUGCUAAUUUUUCUUUUAUUAAUCCAAUGUAGGCUAACUAGCUCUGCCAUAAAAAUAAUAUUACUCUGAGAAGCAGGAUAAACGCUACUAUUAUCUACUCAUAGGAUAUCUUAUUAUAUUUUUAGACAAUGAAUGCUAUACAUUAAAGAAAUUAAGGGAAAAAUACAAAAAAGGGAAUUAAUAUCCCAAUUACCUUGAUUUGAUCGUUACACAUGUAUGUUUUUAUCAGUAUUUUCCAUGUUCCCAUAAAUAUGUGCAAUUAUUAUGUAACAUUAAAAAAAGAAAUUUUAAAAUAAUCGCCCCAUUCCCAUCAAGAAAGACCAACCUCUCAACAUUUUGAAGUAUUUGCUUCUAUUAUAAUUAUUAUUUUUUAUUUUUUAUUUUUUCAGAGAUGGAGUUUCACUCUUGUUGCCCAGGCUAGAUUGCAAUGCACGAUCUCAGUUCACAGCAACCUCAACCUCCUGAGUUCAAGUGAUUCUCCUGCCUCAGCCUACUGAGUAGCUGGGAUUACAGGCAUGUGCCACCACGCCCGGCUAAUUUUGUAUUUUUAGUAGAGACAGGGUUUCUCCAUGUUGCUCAGGCUGCUCUUGAACUCCUAACCUUAGGUGAUCUGCCCAGCUCGGCCUCCAAAGUGCUGUGAUUACAGGCAUGAGCCACCACACCUCGCCGAUUUGCUUCUAUUAUCUUUAUGGGCCUAACCUCUUUUGUUUAUGUUGCUAUAAUUAUACUAUGCUGGGAGGGAUGGCUCAUGCCUGUAAUCCAAGCACUUUGGGAGGCUGAGGCGGGCAGAUCACAAGGUCAGGAGUUUGAGACCAGCCUGGCCAAUAUGGUGAAACCUCG